GAGUUGUUUGGAGAGUUUGAUCCUGGCUCAGAUUGAACGCUGGCGGCAGGCCUAACACAUGCAAGUCGAGCGGAUGAAGGGAGCUUGCUCCUGGAUUCAGCGGCGGACGGGUGAGUAAUGCCUAGGAAUCUGCCUGGUAGUGGGGGAUAACGUCCGGAAACGGGCGCUAAUACCGCAUACGUCCUGAGGGAGAAAGUGGGGGAUCUUCGGACCUCACGCUAUCAGAUGAGCCUAGGUCGGAUUAGCUAGUUGGUGGGGUAAAGGCCUACCAAGGCGACGAUCCGUAACUGGUCUGAGAGGAUGAUCAGUCACACUGGAACUGAGACACGGUCCAGACUCCUACGGGAGGCAGCAGUGGGGAAUAUUGGACAAUGGGCGAAAGCCUGAUCCAGCCAUGCCGCGUGUGUGAAGAAGGUCUUCGGAUUGUAAAGCACUUUAAGUUGGGAGGAAGGGCAGUAAGUUAAUACCUUGCUGUUUUGACGUUACCAACAGAAUAAGCACCGGCUAACUUCGUGCCAGCAGCCGCGGUAAUACGAAGGGUGCAAGCGUUAAUCGGAAUUACUGGGCGUAAAGCGCGCGUAGGUGGUUCAGCAAGUUGGAUGUGAAAUCCCCGGGCUCAACCUGGGAACUGCAUCCAAAACUACUGAGCUAGAGUACGGUAGAGGGUGGUGGAAUUUCCUGUGUAGCGGUGAAAUGCGUAGAUAUAGGAAGGAACACCAGUGGCGAAGGCGACCACCUGGACUGAUACUGACACUGAGGGCGAAAGCUAAC
rnacentral:rRNA from 1 species